rnacentral:lncRNA from 1 species
CAGAAAUGUCAAAACGAAGGAGAUUUUGAGCAGAAUCCCCAGAGUUUCUGUUUUUACUACUAAAGCUUGGUUUAUUAUUGAGAUUUUGGAGACUGGAAACACAUCUGGAGUCUGAAGGGCUGCGUUCGUGGAGAAUCGCUGUGCUCUUUUAACCCUACCGUGUGUGUGAUCACGCUCACAGACAGGAACAUGAGUGAGUGACAUCGCGACGCUCAGCGCUGGGACGUCUCCGCUCCACACAUUUCCAGAUGAAUGCUGGGAGGAACACGCCAUCAUGCAGAUUCUGGCUAUGAUGAUGAUGAUGAUGAUGAUUUUGAUGACAUCAUCACAUUCAGCUCUUGCAGAUCAAAGUUUAACGUGUCAUAAUGAUUACCACAACACCUUCACAUGUGUUUGGGACACCUCAAAACUGGACGUGAUCCCUCCGGUCCAACCCGAGACCGUCUGCUGGAUUCAUGUAACGGUUACGAAGCUGUAAGGAAAAAUGUGACUUCAUAACGUAUUUGGCUUGUGCAUUUACAUUUACAUUUAGUCAUUUAGCAGACGCUUUUAUCCAAAGCGACUUACAAUUGGGGGAUACAUAAAGCGAUUCUUCUUAAGAGGCAAACAGACACAGGAAGUGGUUGUAAUACCAAGUUCUUAGACAUUGUUCAAAUAAGUACAAGCUAGAAAGAGAAGGAAUAAAUAAAGAGAGAGAGUUUUUGUGGCUUGUGAUUAAAUCAGCCUUCAUAUUGUACAGGA